rnacentral:rRNA from 1 species
GAUGAACGCUAGCUACAGGCUUAACACAUGCAAGUCGAGGGGAAACGACAUCGAAAGCUUGCUUUUGAUGGGCGUCGACCGGCGCACGGGUGAGUAACGCGUAUCCAACCUGCCCAUCACUUGGGAAUAACCUUGCGAAAGUAAGACUAAUACCCAAUGACAUCCCACGAAGACAUCUGAAUGGGAUUAAAGAUUUAUCGGUGAUGGAUGGGGAUGCGUCUGAUUAGCUUGUUGGCGGGGUAACGGCCCACCAAGGCAACGAUCAGUAGGGGUUCUGAGAGGAAGGUCCCCCACAUUGGAACUGAGACACGGUCCAAACUCCUACGGGAGGCAGCAGUGAGGAAUAGUGGUCAAUGGGCGAGAGCCUGAACCAGCCAAGUAGCGUGCAGGAUGACGGCCCUAUGGGUUGUAAACUGCUUUUAUAAGGGAAUAAAGUGGGUCUCGUGAGACUUUUUGCAUGUACCGUAGGAAUAAGGACCGGCUAAUUCCGU